UGGGGAAUAUUGCACAAUGGGCGCAAGCCUGAUGCAGCCAUGCCGCGUGUGUGAAGAAGGCCUUCGGGUUGUAAAGCACUUUCAGCGAGGAGGAAGGUGGUGAACUUAAUACGUUCAUCAAUUGACGUUACUCGCAGAAGAAGCACCGGCUAACUCCGUGCCAGCAGCCACGGUAAUACGGAGGGUGCAAGCGUUAAUCGGAAUUACUGGGCGUAAAGCGCACGCAGGCGGUUUGUUAAGUCAGAUGUGAAAUCCCCGGGCUCAACCUGGGAACUGCAUUUGAAACUGGCAAGCUAGAGUCUCGUAGAGGGGGGUAGAGUUCCAGGUGUAGCGGUGAAAUGCGUAGAGAUCUGGAGGAAUACCGGUGGCGAAGGCGGCCCCCUGGACGAAGACUGACGCUCAGGUGCGAAAGCGUGGGGAGCAAACAGGAUUAGAUACCCUGGUAGUCCACGCUGUAAAACGAUGUCGAUUUUGGAGGUUGUGCCCUUGAGGCGUGGCUUCCGGAGCUAACGCGUUAAAUCGACCGCCUGGGGAGUACGGCC
rnacentral:rRNA from 1 species